ACGGGUGAGUAACGCGUGGGACUUUACCCUUUUCUACGGAAGAACGCAGGGAAACUUGUGCUAAUACCGUAUGAGCCCUUCGGGGGAAAGAUUUAUCGGGAAAGGAUGAGCCCGCGUUGGAUUAGCUAGUUGGUGGGGUAAAGGCCUACCAAGGCGACGAUCCAUAGCUGGUCUGAGAGGAUGAUCAGCCACAUUGGGACUGAGACACGGCCCAAACUCCUACGGGAGGCAGCAGUGGGGAAUAUUGGACAAUGGGCGCAAGCCUGAUCCAGCCAUGCCGCGUGAGUGAUGAAGGCCCUAGGGUGUGGAAGCUCUUUCACCGGUGAAGAUAAUGACGGUAACCGGAGAAGAAGCCCCGGCUAACUUCGUGCCAGCAGCCGCGGUA
rnacentral:rRNA from 1 species